rnacentral:rRNA from 1 species
CCAUAGGUGAAGUCAAUGAUCCCAUGCUGCCAAGAAAAGCCUCUAGCGAGCUUCGAGCGGCCCGUACCCCAAACCGACACAGGUGGUCAGGUAGAGAAUACCGAGGCGAUCGGGCGAACUGUGGUUAAGGAACUCGGCAAAUUACCCCCGUAACUUCGGGAGAAGGGGGGCCACAGACUGUCAUACCCCACGCGGGUGGCAGCAGUAGGUGGCCGCAGAGACCAGGGGGAAGCGACUGUUUACUAAAAACACAGGUCCGUGCGAAGUCGUAAGACGAUGUAUACGGACUGACGCCUGCCCGGUGCUGGAACGUUAAGGGGACCGGUUAGUCCGCAAGGGCGAAGCUGAGAACUUAAGCGCCAGUAAACGGCGGUGGUAACUAUAACCAUCCUAAGGUAGCGAAAUUCCUUGUCGGGUAAGUUCCGACCUGCACGAAUGGCGUAACGACUUCCCUACUGUCUCAACCACAGGCCCGGCGAAAUUGCACUACGAGUAAAGAUGCUCGUUACGCGCGGAAGGACGGAAAGACCCCGGGACCUUCACUAUAGCUUGACAUUGGUAUCCGAAUUUAAUUGUGUAGGAUAGGUGGGAGGCUUUGAUCCGCGGACGCCAGUCCGUCGGGGAUCCAACGUUGAAAUACCACUCUGUUGACUUUGGGUAUCUAACUUCGGACCGUGAUCCGGUUCAGGGACAGUGUCUGGUGGGUAGUUUAACUGGGGCGGUUGCCUCCUAAAAUGUAACGGAGGCGCCCAAAGGUUCCCUCAGCCUGGUUGGCAAUCAGGUGUUGAGUGCAAGUGCACAAGGGAGCUUGACUGUGAGACUGACAGGUCGAGCAGGGACGAAAGUCGGGACUAGUGAUCCGGCACCUGCGAGUGGAAGCGGUGUCGCUCAACGGAUAAAAGGUACCCCGGGGAUAACAGGCUGAUCUUCCCCAAGAGUCCAUAUCGACGGGAUGGUUUGGCACCUCGAUGUCGGCUCGUCGCAUCCUGGGGCUGGAGUAGGUCCCAAGGGUUGGGCUGUUCGCCCAUUAAAGCGGCACGCGAGCUGGGUUUAGAACGUCGUGAGACAGUUCGGUCCCUAUCCUCCGCGCGCGUAGGAGACUUGAGAAGAGCUGUCCCUAGUACGAGAGGACCGGGACGGACGAACCUCUGGUGUGCCAGUUGUCAUGUCAAUGGCACGGCUGGUUAGCUACGUUCGGAAGGGAUAACCGCUGAAAGCAUCUAAGCGGGAAGCUCGCUUCAAGAUGAGGUCUCCCACCCCUUAGAGGGUUAAGGCCCCCAGCUAGACCACUGGGUUGAUAGGCCAGAAGUGUAAGCCUGGUAACAGGUUCAGCCGACUGGUACUAAUAGGCCGAGGACUUCACCU